rnacentral:lncRNA from 1 species
UGAGUUGAUAAAAUCUCAUUCUGUCUCAGUGUUUAGAUCCUUGUAAUGACUGAAAUCUCUGAGACAUUAAUUAUGGGUAUGAUUGAAAAACAGACAUAGCAGUGUGUGUGUAGAAUAGGAGUAGGAGUCAAGGGGAAGGGAGAUGAAGAUGGAGAGUUUGAAGCACCUCAGAAUGGAGAACAGAAAAGGUCUAAAAGGCAUGAUUUUGAUAAAAGCAGCUCUGGAAAGAAAUAUUCUGACAGUUUCCAGAAUGAGACUGAGAAUGAAUAAGAGACAUGGAAAAAUGGAAGAAUCUCCAGUCAUUCUGACCACAGAUUUAGUGGUAGUUACAAAUGAAGAAAACAGUGACCUGGGCCUGUAUCCUUCUUCCUCCUUAACUUAUAUAAAAUUUCUAAUUCUGCUAUGCCUUAGGGAAUUACCUGAUUUUCAGAUUUUCCCUGAUGUUCAACAACUGAAUAAAAGCUGUUACCUCUGUUUGAGCCACUAAAACUAUUUUUUUUCAUUGACAGGAUCUAUAUAACUAAUUCUUAUAUUGAACAGUCAAAACUGUAGGCUUUUUGUUUGUUUUGUUUUGUUUUGUUUUUGGUAUGGGCAGAGAAUAUAGAGCUUGUGAGUGGCAGGAAUAAGCUUCAAAAUUUAGCUAAACUAAAUUCCAGACAACUUUUUUCCCACGAUGCCGUGAUGUUUUCUGAGUUAUGUUUGGGUUUCAUACUGUUCAGAGAUCUUCAGUGAGGUAAGGAUAGAAAGGCAAUAUUUCAGAGUUCCUAAGUCACUUAGAGAGACAUUUUAGGUAAUUUCUACCUAUUACCUACAUUUCCCCAUAGCUGCCCACAUCAUGACUAGUCUCACUAAGUGCUUCUUAUCUCUCAAGUAGAUGUCAGAUAAG